AUUGCAGAGCUACCGCUUCGGUUAGCCAGCCACGAAGUUCUCGCGAGAGUCGUCUCCUCAAUACCAAGCGCCUGUGUCUGGCAGAGCUGGUGUGAGACGAGACAAUCCUGCCCCGCCGCCGGGAUAAUCAAGAGUUUUGGCCGGACCUUUGAGCAUACACCGAGAGAGUGAGGAGCCAGACGAAAAGCACACACUAUGGCGCUGAAACGGAUUAAUAAGGAACUUAGUGAUUUGGCCCGUGACCCUCCAGCACAGUGUUCUGCAGGUCCAGUUGGGGAUGAUAUGUUUCAUUGGCAAGCCACAAUUAUGGGACCUAAUGACAGCCCAUAUCAAGGCGGUGUAUUCUUUUUGACAAUUCAUUUUCCUACAGACUACCCCUUCAAACCACCUAAGGCAAGUAUUUUCCCUCAAAGUCUGUUAGUAUAGAUUUAUGCUUUAUUUCAAAGGAAUAGAGCAUUCUUGGAAGAUAGGGUUCUGCGUAGGCUGUAUAUAUAUGUCGAAUUGAGGCACUGAUGUAUAGAUGCUGACUCUUAACCUUUGGUUUAAAGAGCUAGACCUCAGUUUGAACUUUGUAAAUAGAAAUAAGG
rnacentral:sRNA from 1 species